UAACCGAACCCGAAAUAAAAAUAUCCGAACCCGACCCGAAGUACAGAAAUAUCCGAACGGGUUCUACACCUCUAUACCGAAAUACCCGAAAAUCCGAAAUAUCCGAUCCGAACCCGAACGGAUACCCGAACGCCCACCCCUAUAUAGAGUGUAGAUGAAAAGGAGCUAUUCGGUGGUUACAAGACAUAGCUUUACCUCUAAAUAAAGUCUUUGAACAAAGACAUUGGAGCUUCAACUUCGGAAUUUACUUUUUGAGGACUAAUUUCUUCGAUAAUUUAGACAGCUACACAUUUCUCGUGAGUUAUUCAAUCUCGCCCCCACCAAAAACAAAGUAAUUUUGUAAAUUUAGCGCAGGUCUUUUUGUAGUACUACUUUAGCCUUUCCUUGGUUAGUUCUGUUCUGCACGCUUCAGUUUUCUGCUAGUUAUGGAUACCUUCGGGGCCUAGGUAAUACAGCCUUGAUAACGUACAAGUUCCAAUCUAAUAUCUUGCAUGAUUUUGUAUAUAAAAGCUCAGUUUAUAUGUGUUAGAUCAUGUUAACAUACAUUAUAUGAAGAGAAUGAGACAAUGAGAUCAACGUAACCAAAGCAAGCCGUAUAUAGGAAUCUACCAACACUUAAAUAUAUUCACAAGUUACAGACUCUAUAACAUGAUUCUUUUAGGGAAACUCGAGUUUGUUUUCUUACAGUAUCUUUUCUUGCUUGUCAAUCCAAGGCUCUAUGAAUUCAGAUAAUUGAGUUACAUUACAGAUACCACAGAGCCUUGACGGCUUUGAACCUAAUUAACACUAGAUGGACAAUGAUGAAUCUGAUGGUUAAUCUCUCUUUGAUACUCUGCAUUUGAUAGGACUAUCAGAAGGUUCUUCUUCUAAUAUAUACAUGUUUGUGGUCAGAAUCUUUUGUGUGGGAAGAACAUACUCAUUAACAUGAGCAUACAUGCAGCUUAUGUUAAGGCCAUAAGAUCUGCUCAGCAUUUCAUCUACAUUGUGAACCAAUAUUUUCUUGGAUCAUCGAUCAUUCAACUGGGAUUCAAACAAGGACUUGGGUGCAAACAAUCUAAUCCCUAUUGAAAUCGCGCUAAAGAUUGCUAACAAAAUUAGAGCAAGGGGGAAGUUUGCUGCUUACAUUGUCAUUCCAAUGUGGCCAGAAGGUGCUCCAACAAGUAACCCUAUACAGAGGAUUCUAUACUGGCAGCACAAAACCAUGCAAAUGAUGUAUCAAACCAUCCACAAGGCACUUGUGGAAGUUGGACUUGAUGGACAGUAUGAGCCACAAGACUUUAUAAUAUGAUAGGCAAGCCAAAUGAAUUCAAAAGCAUAACCUAACAAAUUUUUGACUAUGAUAAACAUACGAACACUAGGUCAAGAAAAUUAUACAAACACGUUACUCUUCGUUUCCAAAAAGGACCAAACCUCUAUUCAGUUUCAAAUUUUACUUCUGUCUUAUGUACAUUAGUUUUUAUUUUUAAGACAAUGAUUAUUUUCUAAGGCCAUGAGUGAUUUAAUUUGAAUUCAUUAUAUACAAGAAAAAGAAAAAAUAACAAGUAAAAAUACUUUACUUUUAUAGAGAACCAUAAAAUGUUAAAUUUCCAAAUUUUCGUAGUCCUUGCUUUUUUUUAACGACAUAUUCGAUCAAAUAGCUUAAAAAUAUGUCAUCAAACGUUUGUGAAUGACUUAUGUAAAAUUUCCAGUUUUUUUUUGGUUAAUAAUUCUUAAUGAUAUAUGCAUGAUUUACAUAUUUUACCAAAUUUCUUUUAAAAAAAAGCCAAAGACUUUCAAGAGAUUUAGAAGAUUUCUUUUAUUUUUGAAAUAGAAUUUUUCAUUUUCCAUGUCUAACUUUUUUUCUAUUUUAAUAAGGUUAACCAUCUUUAUAUAUAAAGCUAGUUCUCUCUUGAACUUAAAAGAAGAAAAAUAAAGUUAGAAAGAACAAGUUUUUGGUUUUUUGAAGAAAUAAUAUGGGGGCUUCGAUUGGUUACAUCAUAACUGCCGCUAUUGUGGCCUGUUUAAUCAUCUUGGCUGUUCUCUGGCAUUUUGGAUGGAUUUGGUGUGGCGGCAACCGCCAACAAGUUGUGCCCGAUGAUGGUGGUUUAUAAGUAUUUUUGUUUAACUAUUGUUUUGUUUUAUGAAAAUUUUGUCUUUUUUUAACAGGUGAUGAAAAUUCUAAAUUAUUUAUCUAUAUCGAAUAGCAUAUCAAUAAUGUAACGCUGCAAUAUUAAACAGUGGAGUUUUUCAGUUUAUUUAUUUAUAUAUAAUAAAAUUA